GGGGGGUUCCAAAGGGAGCGUGCGUGCACCAGGGCGUCACCUCUGGUGGCUGUCAUUACAACAGAGCUGGCAGCUUGGUCCGGAGACAGGAAAAGAAGAGGUGGCCCUUAUGGGAAGGGAGCACGGCGUCUCUCUCGGAUGCCGCCAAGGAGCACAGGGGGGCGAGUACCAGCGUGGGCUGCAGCCAAAGUCAGGGAAAGGCGACAAAUCAUUCAGCAGGGAAAAAACAAUGAGCGUAAAGGACACAGAAGGACUAAAACGCAGAUCCCUGACACUGUGCGUGGGCUGAAUCCUCUGCUAAAGAAGCCCAGGCUUGAAGACGAGCCAAGAGCGCCUAUUCCCAGGAGCCCAGGGCUCCGCUCGCGGUUCAGGAGUGGAACUGAGGACCACGGGCAUUAAAUGGGAAAGAAAGGCAUGUUGAGGAUAUGGAACAGGUUAUGAGUAAGGUGAAAUAGUGAGUCUGCGUUAUGCAUCAAUCAACCUGGCAGCUAAUGAGGUAAAGCCCAGUUAUUUAAACACGCAAGAUUCCAGUAGGAACUCAACGUGUCGUUUUCAGGAUCAGACCUGUCUAGUAGGGAAGUCGGCGUUGGUCGGGUUUUAGGGACACGGGAUCCAGCAAACUCAGGUUGAGCAGGGCGUAGAGACGUCUCUUGCUUCAAAAGGAGAUCACACGCUAGAGGACAGUUGGCUGUUUUUAAGUCCUAUUAAGCCCUAUUUAGAAUAGGUUAGGGGAUAAAUAAAAACACCGUCCGACGCUAACAUUUUGUUCCUUACCGUUCCCAUCUUUCCGUUAAAAGCUGCCUUUUCAGAGCAUCACGAUAGGUCUUAACGGUGUCGCUUUAGCCCGAAACAUGGCGUUUUCCCGGCCUUGGUUAGUUCUUAAGAACAAAUUUUAAAAAUCAAAGAAAUAAAUAACAAAUGUGCUGUUUUGUAAAAAAAAAAAAAGAAAAGAGAGAGAGAAGGAGAUUACACAUUCUUUCCAAGAUCCAUUGAGCGUUUUCUCAAAGAAAACCUUGAGAAAAAUUUAAAAGGUUGAGAUUAUCUCUGGCCAUAGUCUAGGAAAAUGAGAAAUAAUUAAGGAAAUUGUGACAGCUUCCUCCCUGCCUCCCCCCAGGAAAAACCCCUUUACCAUUUGGAAAGUAAGACACACGCCCUUAAAUCACACGUCGUAGAGAAUGGAUUUAGCUGCAUGGCAGAGAACCAACAGAAGGGUGGAUUCACACAAAGUUCGUUUCCAACACGCAAGUCUGGGCUCAGCGGUGGUAUGAGACCCCGGGCUCCAUCCACUCGCCGCUCCACGAUCCUGGGGCGAGGGCUCCCCACCUUGCCCCUGUGGCUUCUGAUCUCAUUGCCCACUUCUGCUGUUUGCCCCCAUCGCUAUCAUGUCUCAUUGGCCAGCACUCAGUCACAUGGUUAUGCCUGGCUCAAAGAAUCCUGGGAGCUGUAGUUUUUAUCUUGGGUGGGAGUGUGCUCCGUUAAAAGGGAAGGUUCCAUUCCCAAAACAAAAGGGGAGAAUGGGUUUUGGAAGACAGCUAGACUGUCUGCACUACAUCCUUGGAGUAAACCAUGGGGCGCCUGAGUGGCUCGGUCGGUUGAGCCUCUGACUCUUGAUUUCGGCUCAGGUCAUGAUCUCAGGGUUCAUGAGUUCGAGCCCUGCCUGCGUCCGGCUCUGUGCUGACAGCAUGGAGCCUGCUUGGGAUUCUCUCCCCUCUAUGCCCCUCCCUCAUUCACUCUCUCUCUCUCUCUCUCUCUUUCUCUC